GGAGAGGAGGGGCAGGGAGUGAAGAGGAAGAGGGAGGGCGAGCAGAAGGAGGAAGAGGCGGGACAAGGCUCAGAGAAGAAAAAGAUGGACGAGGAGUCGAUGGCGUCCAUGUUGGCUGAUUUCGUCGCCUGUCCUCCUGACGAUGAGGACGGAGCGUCUGGAUCAAACCGCUCAUAGACUUGAACUGAUGUUGUCGAGGUUACCAUGGAGACUGUAUCAUUAGAGACGUUGCCUCCUCGCCACAUCCUCCAUCAUGGUUGAACGCUCUCAGUGUUCACGUCACUUCUGUUGAGACGUGAGGCGUCUUUGUGAGUGACGUUCCAUCGACCAGGUUAAUAAAGGUAAAAGUAGAGUGAGGUUUAAUAAAAAAGAAGACUCCUC